rnacentral:tRNA from 1 species
GCGGCCGUAGUCUAGUCUGGUAGGAUGGCGGCCUGCCACGCCGCAGAUCCCGGGUUCAAAUCCCGGCGGCCGCACCA